GUUUUACGUCCCCUGCUUGUACACACGUCAGUCGCUACUACCGAUUGAUGGCUCAGUGAGGCGUCCGGACUGGCCCAGAGAGGCGGGCAACUGCCACUCAGGGCCGGAAAGCUCUCCAAACUCGGUCAUUUAGAGGAAGUAAAAGUCGUAACAAGGUCUCCGUUGGUGAACCAGCGGAGGGAUCAUUA
rnacentral:rRNA from 1 species